UAAGUACUCCCUCCGUUCGAAAAUACUUGUCAGAGAAAUGCUUAAAAAUGGAUGUAUCUAGAACUAAAAUAUGUCUAGAUACAUCCAUUCCUCCGACAAGUAUUUCCGGACGGAGGGAGUAUAUU
rfam:Triticum aestivum genome assembly, contig: Triticum_aestivum_CS42_TGACv1_scaffold_129522_2BL